rnacentral:rRNA from 1 species
CCCAUAAUCUAGCCCCACUCACAUUCAACCUAUUACCCCCCCCCCACCAAAAUAUUUUAAAAUUCAAGUAAAGAAGAUUGAAAGUCUUAACAGCGCUUUUUAUAUGUACCGAAAGGGAACGAUGAAAUAAUAAUGAAAUAAAAUAAAGCACAAUAUAGUAGAGCUUAACCCUCGUACCUUUUGCAUCAUGGUUUAACCAGUCUAAUCAAGCAAAAAGACCUUAAGUUUGACACCCCGAAACUAAGUGAGCUACUCUGGAGCAGCUUACAGCAAACCCGUCUCUGUGGCAAAAGAGUGGGAAGACUUCAAAGUAGAGAUGAUAUACCUACCGAACUUAGUGAUAGCUGGUUUCUCAUAAAAAGAAUUUUAGUUCACCUUAAAGCCCAACCAAUCUUAUAAAAUAAAUCUUUGACUUUAAAGUUAUUCAAAUAGGGUACAGCCUAUUUGAAAAAGGAUUAAACCUCCACUGAUGGGUAAAUAACCUUAUUAUUCCAAAGUAGGCCUAAUAGCAGCCACCUUUAAAACUGCGUCAAAGCCUUGUUGUCGAACAUUUGGUUUCCACAUCAUCUAUAAACCCUCCACCGAUCAUGAGAACUUCUAUACUACUAUAGAAAAUCUUAUGUUGUAACUAGUAACAAGAAGAAACCUUCUCUUAUAUGUAAACAUAAGCCAGACUGAACUUCCACUGGCAAUUAUCAGUCCUCUAAUAAGUGGUAACUUAACAAGAAAAUUCCACUAUACUACCUGUUAACCUGACACAAGAACAUAACAAGAAAGAUUAAAAGAAAAAGAAGGAACUCGGCAAAAUCAUCAAUCUCGCCUGUUUACCAAAAACAUCGCCUCUUGUACACAUAAGAGGUCCAGCCUGCCCAGUGACCCAUGUUAAACGGCCACGGUAUACUAACCGUGCGAAGGUAGCGCAAUCACUUGUCUCUUAAAUAGAGACCUGUAUGAACGGCAUCACGAGGAUUUAACUGUCUCCUUUUUCUAAUCGGUGAAACUAAUCUCCCUGUGAAAAAGCAGGGAUAAUAAUAUAAGACGAGAAGACCCUAUGAAGCUUUAAACAAAUAACAAUGCUUACCCCCAAUACAAUGCAUACUGAUUAUAAGUUUUCGGUUGGGGUGACCGUGGAAAAAAAUUUAACUUCUACACUGAAAAUCUAAAAUUCAAAACCAAAAGUCACAACUUUACGAGUCAACAAAUUGACAUCAAUUGACCCAAAUAUUUGAUCAAUGAACCAAGUUACUCUAGGGAUAACAGCGCAAUCUACUUCAAGAGCACAUAUCGACAAGUAGGCUUACGACCUCGAUGUUGGAUCAGGGUACCCCAGUGGUGUAGCCGCUACUAAAGGUUUGUUUGUUCAACAAUUAAAACCCUACGUGAUCUGAGUUCAGACCGGAGUAAUCCAGGUCGGUUUCUAUCUAUAAAAAGCAUUCUCUAGUACGAAAGGACCGAGAAAGCAUGGCCAAUGUAAACCCAAGCCAUAAUAUAAUUCAUGACCCACACUUAAUGAUUACUUUUCCCCCCCCCCCUCUAGAGCAAGAGCAGCUAA